rnacentral:piRNA from 1 species
UGAGAGCAGGUGGUUCUUCCUUCAGGUAUU